ACAAGCGGAGGAGCAUGUGGUUUAAUUCGAUGAUACGCGAGGAACCUUACCUGGGCUCGAACGUAAGAUGACUGUAGGUGAAAGCUUACAUCUCUUCGGAGCAUUUUACGAGGUGCUGCAUGGUUGUCGUCAGCUCGUGCCGUGAGGUGUCGGGUUAAGUCCCAUAACGAGCGCAACCCUACCUUUAGUUGCCAUCAGGUAAUGCUGGGGACUCUAAAGGAACUGCCUACGCAAGUAGUGAGGAAGGCGGGGAUGACGUCAAAUCAGCACGGCCCUUACGUCCAGGGCUACACACGUGCUACAAUGGCCGAUACAGAGGGCAGCUACCUGGUGACAGGAUGCAAAUCUCCAAAGUCGGUCUCAGUUCGGAUCGGAGUCUGCAACCCGACUCCGUGAAGUUGGAUUCGCUAGUAAUCGCGCAUCAGCCAUGGCGCGGUGAAUACGUUCCCGGGCCUU
rnacentral:rRNA from 1 species